ACGAACGCUGGCGGCGUGCUUAACACAUGCAAGUCGAACGGAAAGGCCCUGCUUUUGUGGGGUGCUCGAGUGGCGAACGGGUGAGUAACACGUGAGUAACCUGCCCUUGACUUUGGGAUAACUUCAGGAAACUGGGGCUAAUACCGGAUAGGAGCUCCUGCUGCAUGGUGGGGGUUGGAAAGUUUCGGCGGUUGGGGAUGGACUCGCGGCUUAUCAGCUUGUUGGUGGGGUAGUGGCUUACCAAGGCUUGGACGGGUAGCCGGCCUGAGAGGGUGACCGGCCACAUUGGGACUGAGAUACGGCCCAGACUCCUACGGGAGGCAGCAGUGGGGAAUAUUGCACAAUGGGCGGAAGCCUGAUGCAGCAACGCCGCGUGCGGGAUGACGGCCUUCGGGUUGUAAACCGCUUUCGCCUGUGACGAAGCGUGAGUGACGGUAAUGGGUAAAGAAGCACCGGCUAACUACGUG
rnacentral:rRNA from 1 species